UGGCUUAAUUUGACUCAACRGGGAAACCUCACCCGGCCCGGACACGGACAGGAUUGACAGAUUGAUAGCUCUUUCUCGAUUCCGUGGGUGGUGGUGCAUGGCCGUUCUUAGUUGGUGGAGCGAUUUGUCUGGUUAAUUCCGAUAACGAACGAGACUCUGGCAUGCUAACUAGUUACGCGACCCCCGAGCGGUCGGCGUCCCCCAACUUCUUAGAGGGACAAGUG
rnacentral:rRNA from 1 species